CAGCAGUCGCCACGGGAAUACAGAGGGUGCGAGCGUUAAUCGGAUUUACUGGGCGUAAAGCGUGCGUAGGCGGCUUUUUAAGUCGGAUGUGAAAUCCCUGAGCUUAACUUAGGAAUUGCAUUCGAUACUGGGAAGCUAGAGUAUGGGAGAGGAUGGUAGAAUUCCAGGUGUAGCGGUGAAAUGCGUAGAGAUCUGGAGGAAUACCGAUGGCGAAGGCAGCCAUCUGGCCUAAUACUGACGCUGAGGUACGAAAGCAUGGGGAGCAAACAGGAUUAGAUACCCCUGUAGUCCCUGUCUCUUAUAA
rnacentral:rRNA from 1 species